rnacentral:lncRNA from 1 species
UAAACAACACAACAUAAUCAUCAUCUCAUAAUAAUAUAAACAACACAACAUAAUCAUCAUCUUAUAAUAAUAUAAAUGACAACAUGAUCAUUAACAUUCCAUGGUUUGUCAUCAACAACAACUUCAACGAAUCGACGACGACAACGUCAACCUGUCAAUACAACUACGUGAGAGUACACCACCUCUUAUAAAACAACAACGUAAGACUCCAAUACUUUGGAACGACAACUUACAACUUAGCCAACUUAAACCAACAUCUGCAACUUGAUCAAUAUUCAACUGCAACAGAAACAACACAAGCAAUUCACAACAUAACAAUAUUAAUGAAAAGCAUCAACAACUUAA